CCGAUAGGAAAGAAGACAUGUUUAUCAGGAAAUGGGAGGUGAUAAUUAUUGAGAAACUCAGGGAAAUAGCAUUUUAGAGAAGAAAAUGGACAUCAGACAUUCAUUGACGAAAGCUGACAGUCAACAUAAUGAUGAGCUGUGUUAUACUCGUUCAUCUUCUGCUGUGUGAAUUCUGCUGUCUCAGACCUGUGGGACUUGGUGGCGGCUGGUACCAGCGUGACCUCUGCUUACUAAAUGAUGAAAAGGUGUCUAAAAUCAGCUCAGCCACAGUUGGUUUCCAGCGGUUCUUCAGGACAUAGAGGCCACUAUGUAAUUGUCGCAAUAAAUGAUUCUCUUGCCUUUUCACCUGAUGUUGACAAUCUGACCUGUGCGGUAGACAGACUUUUCAAAUUUACUAGCUAAGUAACCUUAAGUAUCCCUGCCAACUGUCUUCAGUUUUUUUUUUGUAUGAAUAUGAUCUACCCUUGUCCCAGUCCUCUUGCAAAUGAUCCAAGGCAAUGGAGUUUCAAAAUGGACCGCAAAAUUGCAGUCUGUUUUAAACAAUGCAUGCACUGUAAGGCGGUUUCCCGGACAGGGAUUAGACUAGUCCUAGACUAAAACAUUUUUAAGAGCUGU